AUGGCACAACAGAGGGUUAUGAGGCAAUUUGGUCUUCUGCAGUUGGAGGUACCUCCCCCUAUAGAGAACUCGGUGCCAUCGCACAUCCACAGGACGACAAGGAAGGGCAUGACUAGGACAACUGUUGAGUGGCUAGUUAGACUAGAGCCGUAUGUUAUAGAAUGGGAGACAGCAAACACAAAUCUAUGUCACGAGAAUCACAAUUUUGAACUCAAUGCUUUCAAUCUCUAUUUGCGACGCUACAUGACUGGAACACGGUUACGCAUCGUUGAGCACUCUCACCCAGAGGAGAUAUCUGAUCCUACUCCGUCGGAUACGUACCUGAGCUAUGAUACUUCGGGCUCUAGGCAGUACGCGGCUACCUUGACACACGAACUCUACGACGACGUGACCACCUUUGAACAAUCACUAUCGUCAGGACCUCUUCUUCACCACCGUCCUGUCAUACAACCCUUCUUGGAACGGAUGCAGAACAAAAUACGGGCUGUCUACGAGGCUAUCACGUGCACCCGGAGAAGCGACGUUGUUCAGCGCCAGCACCAGCAGCCGCGUCCCUCCAUGCACCGACAUCAACCACGUCCACGUCUAGCACAUCAGCUGACGACCAGGCCACCCCCUCCUAAACAACCUGGCAGUUCAUCGUGGCAGCACCCACAACACUAUGGUCCCACGUCGAGCUUCGUGUUUCUCCACAGCCACAGCACCAUGGUCCUCGUCGAGCUUUGUGUUUGA
rnacentral:rRNA from 1 species